rnacentral:rRNA from 1 species
AUUGAACGCUGGCGGCAUGCCUUACACAUGCAAGUCGAACGGUAACAGGUUAAGCUGACGAGUGGCGAACGGGUGAGUAAUAUAUCGGAACGUGCCCAGUCGUGGGGGAUAACGUAGCGAAAGCUACGCUAAUACCGCAUACGAUCUACGGAUGAAAACGGGGGAUCGCAAGACCUCGCGCGAUUGGAGCGGCCGAUAUCAGAUUAGGUUGUUGGUGAGGUAAAAGCUCACCAAGCCUGCGAUCUGUAGCUGGUCUGAGAGGACGACCAGCCACACUGGAACUGAGACACGGUCCAGACUCCUACGGGAGGCAGCAGUGGGGAAUUUUGGACAAUGGACGCAAGUCUGAUCCGGCAAUGCCGCGUGCAGGACGAAGGCCUUCGGGUUGUAAACUGCUUUUGUACGGAACGAAACGGUGAGCUCUAAUACGGUUUGCUAAUGACGGUACCGUAAGAAUAAGCACCGGCUAACUACGUGCCAGCAGCCGCCGUAA